rfam:Actinophytocola sp. 11-183 contig2, whole genome shotgun sequence.
CCGAGGUGCCCACGCCGCGCCGGUGCGAUGCCGGUGGCGGCAGGGAGAAUCGGGAAGCCGGUGAGAGUCCGGCACAGGGCCCGCUGCGGUGACCCGGAGCUCGAUCCGGGAAGUCCGAAGACCGGCCUCGG